AGCGGCGCUGAGGCCGGCCCCGCCCCGGCGGCCCCCGUGCCAGGAGAAGGGCAGAGCCCGGCGCCGCCGCCCUGGGCUGGGGCCCCGCCCGACCGAGCCUCGCUGUGGGCAGGGCAGGCGAACGCCCGAGGAGGUCCCUGCGGGUUGAACGUCUGCUGAGGAGCAAAAAUUGGUGAAGAUUUGAGCACAGUGAAAUGGUGCUGCCCCCAGUUUAGAUCUGAGCUAUGGGCGAGGAGAUGGGAGCACAGCAGGGAUUAAAAAAACGAGUCUUUAAUUAAAAAAAAAAAAA